UACGGAGGGAGCUAGCGUUGUUCGGAAUUACUGGGCGUAAAGCGCGCGUAGGCGGCUUUGUAAGUUAGAGGUGAAAGCCCGGGGCUCAACCCCGGAACUGCCUUUAAGACUGCAUCGCUGGAAUCCGGGAGAGGUGAGUGGAAUUCCGAGUGUAGAGGUGAAAUUCGUAGAUAUUCGGAAGAACACCAGUGGCGAAGGCGGCUCACUGGACCGGUAUUGACGCUGAUGUGCGAAAGCCAGGGGAGCAAACGGG
rnacentral:rRNA from 1 species